GUCCAGACUCCUACGGGAGGCAGCAGUGGGGGAUAUUGCACAAUGGGGGGAACCCUGAUGCAGCGACGCCGCGUGGGGGAAGGAGUAUUUCGGUAUGUAAAGCCCUAUCGGCAGGGGAGAAGAAAGACGGUACCUGACUAAGAAGCCCCGGCUAACUACGUGCCAGCAGCCGCGGUAAUACGUAGGGGGCGAGCGUUAUCCGGAUUCACUGGGUGUAAAGGGAGCGUAGACGGCCAAGCAAGUCAGGGGUGAAAGGCCGGGGCCCAACCCCGGGACUGCCUUUGGAACUGGAUGGCUGGAGUGCGGGAGGGGCAGGCGGAAUUCCUGGUGUAGCGGUGAAAUGCGUAGAUAUUAGGAGGAACACCGGUGGCGAAGGCGGCCUGCUGGACUGUAACUGACGUUGAGGCUCGAAAGCGUUGGGAGCAAACAGGAUUA
rnacentral:rRNA from 1 species